GACGAACGCUGGCGGCGUGCUUAACACAUGCAAGUCGAGCGGUAAGGCCCUUUCGGGGGUACACGAGCGGCGAACGGGUGAGUAACACGUGGGUGACCUGCCCUUAGCUCUGGGAUAAGCCUGGGAAACUGGGUCUAAUACCGGAUAUGACUCCAUGACGCAUGUUGUGGGGUGGAAAGCCUUGUGCGGCUAGGGAUGGGCCCGCGGCCUAUCAGCUUGUUGGUGGGGUGAUGGCCUACCAAGGCGACGACGGGUAGCCGGCCUGAGAGGGCGACCGGCCACACUGGGACUGAGACACGGCCCAGACUCCUACGGGAGGCAGCAGUGGGGAAUCUUGCGCAAUGAGCGAAAGCCUGACGCAGCGACGCCGCGUGGGGAUGACGGCCUGG
rnacentral:rRNA from 1 species